GUGCUUGCUUCAGCAGCACAUAUACUAAAAUUGGAACUAUACAGAGAAGAUUAACAUGGCCCCUGCAAGAGGAUAACAAGCAAAUUCGUGAAAAGUUCCAUAUUGAA